rnacentral:rRNA from 1 species
CUCCGGUUGAUCCCGCCGGACCCGACUGCUAUCAGAGUGGGACUAAGCCAUGCGAGUCGACGUAGCAAUGCGUGGCGAACGGCUCAGUAACACGUAGUCAACAUGCCCAGGGGACGUGGAUAACCUCGGGAAACUGAGAAUAAACCACGAUAGGUCAUGAUUUCUGGAAUGGAUCAUGGCUCAAAUCUACAUGGCCCCUGGAUUGGACUGCGGCCGAUCAGGCAGUUGGUGAGGUAAAGGCCCACCAAACCUAUAACCGGUACGGGCUCUGAGAGGAGAAGCCCGGAGAUGGGCACUGAGACAAGGGCCCAGGCCCUAUGGGGCGCAGCAGGCGCGAAACCUCUGCAAUAGGCGAAAGCCUGACAGGGUUACUCUGAGUGAUUUCCGCUAAGGGGAUCUUUUGGCACCUCUAAAAAUGGUGCAGAAUAAGGGGUGGGCAAGUCUGGUGUCAGCCGCCGCGGUAAUACCAGCACCCCGAGUGGUCGGGACGAUUAUUGGGCCUAAAGCAUCCGUAGCCGGUUCUGCAAGUCUUCCGUUAAAUCCAGCCGCUCAACGGAUGGGCCGCGGAGGAUACUACAGGACUAGGAGGCGGGAGAGGCAAGCAGUACUCAGUGGGUAGGGGUAAAAUCCUUUGAUCCAUUGAAGACCACCAGUGGCGAAGGCGGCUUGCCAGAACGCGCUCGACGGUGAGGGAUGAAAGCUGGGGGAGCAAACCGGAUUAGAUACCCGGGUAGUCCCAGCUGUAAACGAUGCAGACUCGGUGAUGGGCUAGCCUUGUGCCAGCCCAGUGCCGCAGGGAAGCCGUUAAGUCUGCCGCCUGGGGAGUACGGUCGCAAGACUGAAACUUAAAGGAAUUGGCGGGGGAGCA